rnacentral:rRNA from 1 species
UACGUAGGGUGCAAGCGUUGUCCGGAAUCAUUGGGCGUAAAGCGCACGUAGGCGGUUCGUUAUGUCGGAUGUGAAAGCCCUUGGCUUAACCGAGGAAGUGCAUCCGAAACUGGCGAGCUAGAGUACGAAAGAGGAUCGCGGAAUUCCCGGUGUAGCGGUGAAAUUCGUAGAUAUCGGGAGGAACACCGGUGGCGAAGGCGGCGAUCUGGGUCGAUACUGACGCUGAGGUGCGAAAGCGUGGGGAGCAAACAGG